rnacentral:tRNA from 1 species
GGGGGGCCAUGUCCUUGGUGGCGACUGAUCCUUGCAAGAUCGGUGCGGCGGGUUCGAUCCCCGUGCUCUCCAC